rnacentral:rRNA from 1 species
AUUGAAGGCUGGCGGCAUGCUUUACACAUGCAAGUCGAACGGUAACAGGGUGCUUGCACCGCUGACGAGUGGCGAACGGGUGAGUAAUGCGUCGGAACGUGCCGAGUAGUGGGGGAUAACGCAGCGAAAGUUGUGCUAAUACCGCAUACGUACUGAGGUAGAAAGUGGGGGACCUUCGGGCCUCACGCUAUUCGAGCGGCCGACGUCGGAUUAGCUAGUAGGGGAGGUAAAGGCUCACCUAGGCGACGAUCAGUAGCGGGUCUGAGGGGAUGAUCAGCCACACUGGGACUGAGACACGGCCCAGACUCCUACGGGAGGCAGCAGUGGGGAAUUUUGGACAAUGGGCGAAAGCCUGAUCCAGCCAUGCCGCGUGUCUGAAGAAGGCCUUCGGGUUGUAAAGGACUUUUGUCAGGGAAGAAAUCCCUAGUGCUAAUAACACUGGGGGAUGACAGUACCUGAAGAAUAAGCACCGGCUAACUACGUGCCAGCCGCCGCAGUAA